AACGAACGCUGGCGGCAGGCCUAACACAUGCAAGUCGAGCGAGGACUUCGGUUCUAGCGGCGGACGGGUGAGUAACGCGUGGGAAUGUGCCCUUCUCUACGGAAUAGCCCUGGGAAACGGGGAGUAAUACCGUAUACGCCCUAUUGGGGAAAGAUUUAUCGGAGAAGGAUCAGCCCGCGUUGGAUUAGGUAGUUGGUGGGGUAAUGGCCUACCAAGCCGACGAUCCAUAGCUGGUUUGAGAGGAUGAUCAGCCACACUGGGACUGAGACACGGCCCAGACUCCUACGGGAGGCAGCAGUGGGGAAUCUUAGACAAUGGGGGCAACCCUGAUCGAGCCAUGCCGGGUGAGUGAUGAAGGCCUUAGGGUUGUAAAGCGCUUUUAGCUGGGAAGAUAAUGACGGUACCAGCAGAAGAAGCCCCGGCUAACUCCGUG
rnacentral:rRNA from 1 species